rnacentral:rRNA from 1 species
UACGUAGGGCGCAAGCGUUAUCCGGAAUUAUUGGGCGUAAAGAGCUCGUAGGCGGUUUGUCGCGUCUGCCGUGAAAGUCCGGGGCUCAACUCCGGAUCUGCGGUGGGUACGGGCAGACUAGAGUGAUGUAGGGGAGACUGGAAUUCCUGGUGUAGCGGUGAAAUGCGCAGAUAUCAGGAGGAACACCGAUGGCGAAGGCAGGUCUCUGGGCCGAUAUUGACGCUGAGGAGUGAAAGCGUGGGGAGCGAACAGG